GCCUCGGUAGCGCAGUAGGCAGCGCGUCAGUCUCAUAAUCACCCCAGCGAGUAAUCUCGUCGUGAGUUCUGAUCCUCACCCGGGCCG
rnacentral:tRNA from 13 species